UUCAUUUGAAUAACUGCUCAAAAGUCUAACAUUUAAAAUGCAUAUUCAGUUCGAAAUAUGUGUAACUAGGUUGCCUGAUUGGGCAGCCAUUUGGAUCAGUUAUGUUGUUUUUCUCUGCAGUUUAGCCUACACAGUCCAGGCACAUUAGCAGGACAAUAAUAUGGUGCAUUUGUCAUGGCGUACAGUGUCAGCGAACAGGAACAUGCUAAUGCAGGGAUUUCUAGUGUAAUUAUAAUAACGCGCAAGUGUGGAGGAAGUUGUCUCCGCAUUUGGCUUCCGUGUUUUAAAAGUGUUCGAAUCGGUUAAGAUCCGGAGCUUUCCUGGUUAGGUUACCAGAUAAGGAAAAACUCUGGGCCCCAGGGGGAAAAAAUUGCCCUGCCACUCUGGGACCUAUGGUGGCACCAGUCUGCUUGCAACCUGAUUAAGAGGUGAUGAACACUCCAUUCCACUACCAUUGUCAACUCUCUCCUGACAUGAACUGAAGCCAUGUCUCAUGCACCCUCUCAUCCACUGGCACAUUGGAUGUUUCCUCUCCAAACACUUGGACGAGUUCUUUCUUCUACAACACCAUCCAUCCAUAAUGAGCCUGUCCUGCACUGAAGCCUCUGAACACCUCAACCUCUGUCCUGCACUGAAGUCAAGCCUCUGAACACCUCAACCUCUGUCCUGCACUGAAGUCAGGCCUCUGAACACCUCAACUCAUGCCUCAUACCCUCAUUCAAUCACUGCUGUGAUCCCUUCCCAACUGUGUACAGUAGCUGUCUGUUGCUGUAUGGACAUUGAAAAGGACAUGGACGUCUCGUUUGUCAUGCCACUUUACUGCCAGCUGUUGACCGUUCUCCUGGAACUCCACCUCCCCUCUCUGCAUCUUCCUGCAUCCGAAUGCCGACAUCCCCUUCCUGUUCGACAGGUCCCUGUGCUGUUGGAGAGCAGAAGCUGGAAGAGUGUGGGACUGCUGUACCAAUUGUCCACGUACAAAGUGUUUCCCUUGCUGAGAUGAGGAGCCAGCAUGGUCAUCACCACGGACCCCGACACCCCAAGCCUCGUAAUGUUGGAUGUCAGUGGUGGAUCCUGUGUAAACUAUAAUGUCCUGGACAAAUCCUGUCUUCACGUCACACAUGGCAAAGAACUUGACUCCAAACCUGUGCCUUUUGGAGGGAAUAUAUUGACUCAACGCCAGCCUACCUUUCCAUAACAUCAGGGACUCAUCAAUGCAUUGUAUGGCACAAAGACCCGACCAAAUGCUGAUGUCAGGCUGCUCCAAAGCAUAGUGAUUGGUCUCCUCUACUAUGUCUCCCACCAGCUCCUCUGUCAGAAACAACUUGAAGCACUCUGCCUCAGAUGGAACUGGCAAGGGGCUUUGCACUCCAGACUGGGACUCAUCAAGCAAACAGCAGGGCCAGGAGGAGUGAAAUGGCUGGCGGCCAUCCAGCUACCACAGAGCUCCUGUACUUCAUCCACUGUCGGUCUGCCUCCAUCACCAUCAGCAUCUUCAAAGGGACCUGGGACUUCGUCAGUGGUCAAGUGUUCCUCAGAUUCAGGGUUCUCAAUGGCUACAAGGUUGGGGGGCAGCUCCUCACGGUCACUGUCACUGUCAGAAUCCGAUUCCUGACUUACAUACUCAGACUCAUUGUCAGAAUUUGUGAGUUGUCUCCUUUUGAAAGACAUUGCCAAUGCUACAGCUUAGCUCACUAGCUACACACAUAAACUACAACACUGAAUGCCUCAGUGAGAGGUUGAGUGAGAGGUUACGUGAUUGACUGCCAUCACGCGCCACUUGUAUCAAUAAAUCACUAUCAGAGAAUGUUUGUGGUAAUUAUUUAUGGGUGAUUAUGCAACUACGGGCACUUCCAUGUCCUCAGGUAAAUUUUGGGGAUUUUAUACAAAAUAAAACAAAUACUUGUAUGUUAAGUUCACACUGGAAUCAGCCCAUACUUUUUAAACACCUCUCUAUCAAGUAUUUUAGCUACAUUUUAGAUGCAUUUUAUACCUCAAUUUCACUAUUUUGCCCAUGUCCCUGACUCAGAAUUUUAAGCUUCUACUAUGUUUUUCUAUGGGAAAACAUGAAUAAUUACGCAUUAUAUAAUGUUAUGUACUACAGAAAGAGUCAAUUAAAUAAAAUCUAUAUCAAUAUUUAUUGUGAGUAUACCCUUUAUAUUGUUUUUUUUUACACAAAAUAUACCUGUCCUUUGGGAGUGGUGUCAUUUCCACCACUGAGGACAAAUUCCUCAUUAAUAAAGUAUGUAAUACUAAGCUGUAAUACUAAUCAAAGCAUGCUAAGCUGUCUGUCAAUUUUCUCUAGAAACUGUAGAAAUUCCAUUUCCAUCACAGUCAUUUCCAUCACAAACGUAAGUGUGUUGGAAAUGACAAAGUGGUGGAAAUGACAAAUUCAUUAUCUGAUUCGUAUUUACUUAACUUUUUUAUUUUUUAUUUUUUACUUUAGGCUUAUUUAAUCAUGUUUUAAAUGAAUUGAAUCUAGAAAAUGCUCCAAGCUGUGCACAAGUAUCACAUUCGUUAUAAGGAUCGAACCAAGGCGCAGCAUUGUAUGCGUACAUUCUAAUUUAUUAAAAGAAUGAACACUGAACAAACUAACAAAAUAACAAAACGAAACGUGAAGCUAUACAAACGAGUGCUGGCAGGCAACAUAGACAAGAUCCCACAACAGAAAGUGGGAAACCGGGCUGCCAAAAUAUGAUCCCCAAUCAGAGACAACGAUAAACAGCUGUCUCUGAUUAGGAACCAUAUCAGGCCAACAUAGAAAUACAAAACCCCUAGACCUCCAACAACCCUAGACAUACAAACCCUAGACAUACAACACUAGAGUACCCACUCUAGUCACACCCUGUCCUAACCAAAAUAUAUAGAAAACAGAGAUAUCUAAGGUCAGGGCAUGACAACAAGUUAAAAACUAAUUAGUAUUUGUCUUAAUUUUUUAGAAGCUACCACAUAAAACAGCACAGAGGUCACAAACAUAUAGAAACAAAAUAAAAAAUGAUCCUAUAAAAUAUCAGGAACAUCUGCAAAAAGACAGGAAGAGAUACUAGAAGAAAAAAAGAGAAGGGAGAAGUGAAAUCUAUCUCUGAGCUUACAAAGCGAGAACAAAGAAACAAGAGAUGGCAAUGAAAUGUAACCAACGGAAUAUAAGACAUACUUUAAAGAGAACAGUUGCAAUGGAGACCUACCUAUCAGCCAACACACCACCUCAGUCACCAGAUGACUUGCAGCCAGAACAUGAGGCUAACAUACCUGCAUACCUGCAUACCUGAUGCACACCGAUACCCCUUCCUUAUCGUCUGCAACAUGAAUGAGAAGUCGAAUACUUGCUGGAAGGAAAAAUGUUGGAAAAGGUUGUUCAAAAGCAUACAGAGAUCUUAGUAUGACAAAUGUCAACCUUAAUGUAAUAAUAAUAUAUGCUUUACAGAAAGUGAAAAAUACAACAAAAAAAAGGUAGGAUCGACUGAUGAACAAAAUGAAGAGACAAGAUUCCCCAAAGACAAAUACAGAACAGCAAAUGAAGGGAACUCCGAAGAACUUGAGAAGGAUUUUAUUGUUUCAAAAUGCCAUCAUUGAAGUGUUAAAACAAAAGUGUAAAAAACAUGUGCAGUGCCAAAGACAAACAAGUGGCUUCAAAAAGUGUCAGAGGCAACAUCCUGAGAAAGUAUGGCCUGGUCAAAGCUGCAAACAGAGAAUUUGGAUGUUCAGCAAAAGCAAUGAGGGCAAAUGAAAACAGGCCUUCAAUACUCCAGGAAAAAUCAGUGUAACAGAGUUAGCACUGCCACAGAAGAGAAAAUCACUAGAUUCUAUGAACGUGAUGACAACAGCAGAGCAACAACAGGGGAAAAGGACACACUAACGAGGAACAACAAGAAAAAGCAGAAGCACUUCUUGAAUGGCACAAUUCAGAACCUUUAUCAGAAGUUUAAGAGGGAAUAUUCUGAAAUUCAAAUGUCCUACUGUGAAUUCUGCAAAAUAUGUCAUUUUUGGGUUGUCAAGCCAACGGUCCAGGAUUGCGACACAUGUCUCUGCAAAACCCAAGCCAACCUCCAGUUCAUGGCGGACAAACUACAGCAUCACAAAGUGUUCAGCUGCAGCAACAUUGAGAAAGUUAUUGAGUCUUUGUGCUGUGAGAACCUGAAGACAGAGUGCAUGUACAGAGAGUGCUCCCUUUGUCAAGCUCAAGAGCUUAAAACAUCUGACUUUGAUGCUGGUGAGCAGACAUGGUGGUUUGAGUGGAAAAACAAAGCUGAAGAGAGAGAGAAGAAAAACAAAGUGGGAAACAGGGAGAAGUUCACUGUACAUUUGACAGUAAUAGAGAAGGUAUGUGUCACACUGCAGAUUCUACUGGAGGACUUCUCCAAAGAGAAGCUGGGGAAACACGUGAACAACAUUCAACACCAAUACUCAAAUGAGAGAAUUAAGAGAAUCUGAGGAAAGAGGAGAUCAUUGUGCGUAUUGACUUUGCAGAGAACUACCUGUGUAAAUACACCAGUGAAAUCCAGGCAGUUCACUUUGGUGAUUAUCACAAGCAGGUGACCCUCCACACCUGUGUUGGAUAAACCACAAAUGAUACAGUUUCACUUUGCUCACUGAGCUCUUCUAUGCGGCAUGACCCCUCUGCUAUCUGGGCCCAUCUCUCAAAAACACUGGCCUACUUCCUUGAGCUCUGCCCAUUGGCUACUGCUGUACACUUUGUGAGUGAUGGGCCUUCAACCCAGUAUAGGUCUGAAAUGUUUAACAAUGGUUGUUAUUUUAAAUGUUUGCAAUAAAAUAUUGUUUUCAUACGUAUUUUUUUUUUUUUACAUAGAUGUCAUUUCCACCACACCUUGUAAUUUCCAUCACAACCCAUAUUUUGAGGUAAAUUAGUAUAUUAUGUCUAAUUAACAUACAUUUAUUUGUUUUAGAUAUGGAAAUCACAUAUCAUAUCAUAAUCGCAUAAAAAGGUUGGAUGGAAAUAUAUUAUUUUUCAUGAUAAAUAAAUGUUUUCAGCUUUCACCAAGGCAAGUUUAUACAUUCAGGCAUCGUGUUGAAUUAUUAAUAUUAGAAAAACCUUAGAAAUCACUUCAAAUAAUAUUCAAUACAAGUUCAUGUACAAAUGUAUAAUAAAUCCGUUAUAAAUCAAUUGUAUAAUAUUUCAUUUUCAACUAAAAUGGAUGUUUAAUGACGUGAUGGAAAUUACAUUUGUGUAUGGCUGUCUGGGAAAAUUGACAAAAAUAUAUCAAUUCUUGAAUAGUACAAUCGCAGCGAUUAUCAUAUAUAGUUUCUAGACAAAUCAAAGACAGGUACAAUACUGGUAAAAUGGUGUUUGAAUAAGUUUGAAUAAGUUUUAAUUUCUGAAAGUUUACAUGGCCAAAGUUCCAAAAAGUUGCAUAAUCACCCUUAAAUAUUUAUUGUUUCAUUUCAAGUACUGGUGACAAAACAUGCAUUCCGAUUCUUGUAUAGAUUGUAAUGGACACAUACUAUGUGUGUAAAAUACUUUCUUAAGUUUGUACUGAUUAUGAACAACUAAGCUAAUUCCAGCUAUGUGUGGAGCCAUGUUUGUUGACAUACAAUGCAUUCUGGGUUUCACGUAAUUGUCUGUCAGACCAGACAGUUAUAACAAAAUGAGGUGCGUAACGGUUCACAAAUUUUUUUGAGAACUUCCGGGAAGUGACUGGUGGGAUGUGAACAAUGGUAGACGACACACCCCCUUCAACAUGCAUAAUAUAAACAGACCAAACUCAUCUUGUCUCCUCUUAUCUUUGGUUUCUGUGAAAAACAAUCAUGGCGGCGAGCAGAAACUACCCUUCGUCGGAUUACUUUCAAUUUCUAGAAAGUGUUUUACUCAAUGAUUUCGACCAAUGGUGAGCUCACCCGUGGUGUGAUUAACUAUAAAUAGUAAUUGCUAUUAGCUAAUUCAUAUUGUAGUUCCUGUCAGCCGAGAGUUAUAAAAAUAUGACCGCUUGUUUUACAUCAAUCUUUUCUCAGUUAGUGCUAGGACACAUGUAGCCCACAUUUUCCCCCUUUGAAUGUUUGUGUUAUGCUGUAGCUACUUCUGUGAAUGUCUGAACAUUGCAUCCAAAAAUAAACUGCUCACAU